rnacentral:rRNA from 1 species
GUAGGGAAUAUUGCGCAAUGGACGAAAGUCUGACGCAGCGACGCCGCGUGAGUGAUGAAGGCCUUAGGGUCGUAAAGCUCUGUUGAAUGGGAAGAAAAAAAUGACGGUACCAUUCGAGGAAGGACCGGCUAACUUCGUGCCAGCAGCCGCGGUAAUACGAGGGGUUCUAGCGUUGUUCGGAAUCAUUGGGCGUGAAGGGUGUGUAGGUGGCCAUGUAAGUCAGGUGUGAAAGCCCCGGGCUCAACCCGGGAAGUGCACUUGAUACUGCGUGGCUUGAGUACCGAAGAGGGUAGUGGAAUUCCAGGUGUAGUGGUGAAAUACGUAGAUAUCUGGAGGAACACCGGUGGCGAAGGCGGCUACCUGGUCGAGUACUGACACUGAGACACGAAAGCAUGGGGAUCAAACAGGAUUAGAUACCCUGGUAGUCC